rnacentral:rRNA from 1 species
CACGGGGGGAGCAAGCGUUGUUCGGAAUCACUGGGCGUAAAGGGCGUGUAGGCGGUCAGGUAAGUGAGACGUGAAAUGCCCCGGCUCACCCGGGGACCUGCGUCUCAUACUGCUUGGCUUGAGUACGGGAGAGGAUGUGGGAAUUCCUGGUGUAGCGGUGAAAUGCGUAGAUAUUGGGAGGAACACCAGUGGCGAAGGCGGCUCACUGGACCGGUUCUGACGCUGAUGCGCGAAAGCGUGGGGAGCAAACGGG